AACGAACGCUGGCGGCAUGCCUAACACAUGCAAGUCGAACGAGACCUUCGGGUCUUGUGGCGCACGGGUGCGUACCGCGUGGGAACCUGCACUUAGGUUCGGUAUAACUCCCUGAAGGGGGUGCUAAUACCGGAUAAUGUCUUCGGACCAAAGAUGUAUUGCCUUUGGAUGGGCCCGCGUUGGAUUAGCUGGUUGGUAGGGUAAAAGCCUACCAAGGCGAGGAUCCAUAGCUGGUCUGGGAGGAUGACCAGCCACACUGGGACUGAGACACGGCCCAGACUGCGACGGGAGGGAGCAGUAGGGAAUAUUGUACAAUGGGCGAAGGCCUGAUCCAGCAAUGCCGCGUAUGACAUGAAGGCCUUAGGGUUGUAAAGCUCUUUGACCCGAGACGAUAGUGACGGUACCGGGAGAAUAAGCACCGGCUAACUCCGUG
rnacentral:rRNA from 1 species